rnacentral:rRNA from 1 species
AAGCUCGUAGUUGAAUUUCGGGGUUAGUAGGUUGGUCAUGCCUCUGGUAUGUACUGGUCUCACUGAUUCCUCCUUCCUUAUGAACCGUAAUGCCAUUAAUUUGGUGUUGCGGGGAAUUUGGACUGUUACUUUGAAAAAAUUAGAGUGUUUAAAGCAAGCUAACGCUUGAAUACAUUAGCAUGGAAUAAUGAAAUAGGACGUUCGAUCUUAUUUUGUUGGUUUCUUAGGAUUGACGUAAUGAUUAAUAGGAUAGUUGAG